rnacentral:lncRNA from 1 species
GAAAAAACGGAAAUCAGGUACCCGAAAAACGUGUUGAAUAUUCAUAUGUGUACAAAUUUAUUGAUUAGGUAAGAAAACAUAUUCAAAUACAUUACUAAACAAAAAUCUAACCAAACAGUUUGGGCUGCGAGAGUAUCGAUCAACCUAUCGAACCGGUUCUUAUUACAGAUUCAAAAAGUUUUUGUCUUUGUGUUGACUUUUUGGAUUCCAGGUGUUCGAAGUAUAUUUCGCCGUUUAUCUGUUACAAGCUUGAUAUAACAUUUUAAAAAAAGAAUCACACAAACAUAUUCUGACUUCUACUUAUAAUAUUUAUGCAACAAAACAUUCUGAGAAGUCCAAAAAUAAAUAUGCAACUUUGUUUACAAAUUUUCACCUGAAGCCGCCAUGUUUGAUUUCGAACUUACAGGUUGAGUAACUAAUUACUAAGCACAUCAGCUAAUGACAUAAGCACUAGUCAUUUGCUGUGCAGGUAUACACAAGACUAUCUUUAAUCUACCACAAACUGUAUGUAUUUUUUGUUCCAGCAUUAUAAUUUUAAGUUAAAGACGAUGUAUUUUAUAGGGGAGAAGUAAAUAGUGAAAUUAUCUCCCUUACUUACUCAGAAUAUUUUUUUCAUAAUGAAUACAGAUCUUCAUUUUUCAAUAGUUAGACCACACAAAAUUAAUACAGCAAAAGCACAGGCACUUGUCUCUGAGAAAGAAAUCCAUCAACUUUAUUAUAUUACAUGUACAAUGCACUUGGCUUACAUUUUUGGAAAUGACAAAUGGUUUUCAGUUUUCCUUCAUAUUUUGAUUUUGGUAAACGGACAGAAAGUCACAGGACAUAAAGUCACAAAUUUGAUAGGACAAAAAGUCAUAAAUAUUUUUUUGACAAUUGUUUGGAUAUAUAUAAGAGAAAUAUCUUGAAAUAUUUACUUUUUAAUACAUAUAUUCAUAUUAAGUUAAUGAAAUUUAUCAUUUUACUUGAAAAAGGAAGAUUUAUUUAGUUUUAAUCAUGCAAAGGACAUAUUUCUUGGCACCAUGAAGCCAUUUAAGUGCCAAUAUAUUUUGACAUUUUACAUUCUUUGACAUUUUUUGAUACAUUUUGCUUACAAAGUUGGUUAAUAUACCAUACUUCAAGAAAAAUACAAAAAUGUUUUUGUAAGAAUAAGCAUUUUUUAUUCAAAGAAAAUAAUCAGAAAAAAUGAAUUGUGACUUUUUGUCCGUGACUUUUUGUCCUGUGACUUUCUGUCCUACAUUCUUUGAUUAUACAGUUCAAGCAAUUGUCUAUACCACUUGAACUUAUUAUCCCAUAAAUCUACAUUGAAUUAUCUACAAAAGGGUGUAUAACAUACUUAUUCUAUGAUAGGAAUCAUUCUUGAUAGGUCAUCCAAGUACAUGUAUGUCAACCUUAAUUAUUUUGUUGAAAUCACAGUCCUAAUUUUGGAGGCCUUCUACAAGUGAUUCAGACCUCAAAAGAAGACGUUAAUGUUUCAUUCACGAUUUUGUAGCUAAAUCGAUGUACAGUUUAGUGGGGUAAUUAAGUGAGGAAUCACAAUAUACUGAAAGCUCACUUCAAAAUACUAAUUGUAUUUUUUUUUUAAAUGCAUGUUUAUAAGUAUUUUGAGUGGAACAGUACAUGUAUAUAGAAAAUAAGAAAUUCUGAGAUAAGUGCCUUUGAGAAUAAGGUGCCAUGUCCCUCUCAAUCAAUUCGUCCCGAAUGAACAUUAAAUAAUUUGCCACUGCAAGGAAGUUGAGCAAAGUUUGAUACCAAUUUUUUAGUGUAACAAAAAAACUAACAUGAUUCAUUGUGAUUGGUCAUCCUAUAUGUUAGUUCCGGUAAAUUAAGUAUCAUUUGUCCAAGUAUCAUUAAUAUUAAAUAUUUUAUUAAAAUCUAGAAUAGAAUACAAUCUCUUUAUAAGCUAUAGUCUUGUGAUUUAUUUGAACUAUUUAAAUAGGUGAUCAUUAAAGAAAGUCUUAAGUACUCUUUCUCAAGUUACUUGCAAAUUUUCUAUAAAAAAUAUUGCUUGAAUAAGUGAAUAAAGAAAUUACUCAUUUAAGUAUUCCCCCUGACUGUAUUAGUGGCAAAAUGAAGUUUUGAUUGGUGUUAUUUGAGUAUUAAAAAGUUCUUGUCUUCAAAAUUCCAAUAGGGAACAUACCUUUUAUAAUUGUAUAAAUAAACCAAUUGUUCAGACGUUUCGGCCAUUGGCCUUCUUCAGUUAUUUAUUAUUCCUCUAAACUACAUGGCUGACAUUUCUUUUUUCAGACAUUGAAAAGAUGUUAUAGAUAAAAAGUUAUUAUUUCUCUUUGCCACCAUGUUGAGGGUCAAUUUUCUCAAAUUCUUUCUUAAAUAAACCAAGUUCAACAUGUUAUGCUGGUCAUUUGAAUUGACUAGAAAAAAAGUUUGUUUUUUUACAAAUUUUCAUUUGUCUUUAAGUGUUGAAUUGUAUCAAAGUAUAACAAGAUCUAAUAUUUAUAGGAUCUCCUAUCAGAUUUGCUUGAAACAAGUUUGGUUAGUUCAUGUACAUGUACAUGAAGUCAUUUAGGAAAAUACCCAAGUUAUUGAAGUUAAUUAUAAUGGGGCAGAGGUAUAAUAAUAUAUCAAACUCAACUUAAAUAUUCAAAAUUGUGACAAAUUUUUUGUUGUUGUAGAUAAACUAUUGCUUCACCAGAUGAAGAUGUAAACAAUGCCUGCAGGUCAUUAUGACCCUCAGACUUCUUACAAUGGUGAUGAUUCUGCAGCUAGCAUUCUAAAAACAGUACAAGCACAGGUAAGUACUAUUAUUAUACCUUACAUAUAUUACAAACAAUUCUAUUGGAUAACAACUUAUCACGUGACAUGGAAUAAUUCGGUUAAUUUUCAUGUAAUUGCAUGGGAGGACGAAUAACCCUUAAAAUUUACACCAACGGUGAAUAACCCUAUUAUUCACCGGCGAAUAACCUUUUUAGUGUCUAGAUUUGCACUCGAGUUACCUCCCAUGCAAAUGACGUCACAGACGUAAAUAAACAAGAUGGCAGCGUUCACGUUACACUGACAGCCCAUCGAGAGACGAGGAAAUAAGGCUUUGGAAAUGAAUAGAGUGCCAGCAGCCGAUGUUAUCUCCUCUAAAUGGUCCUUUUCAGGGCCAUUAAUAUUUUACGAAAAGAUUCUACCUUUGUUGUACAUCCGAGAAAUUCUAGAACACAAACAUGACAAAUAUAUUUUCCUGAGCUAUUUUCAAACGUCAGCUUGUGUUUGUUAUGUAAAAAAUAUAGUGUUCAAAAUGCCCUUCCACUGUUUAUUCGGUAUAAUAAAACAAUUGUGGCCCCAUAGAAUCGAUGAAUAUCCAAAAUUGUCAACCCUUAAAAGUUAUUUCACUUCGGGCUGCGCCCUCAUUGAAAUAACCUUCUCGUGUUGACAAUUUUGGAUAUUCACCUUUUCAACGGGCCAUAAUUGUAUAAUCUACACAUAUAUUGACCUAUGAUGGAUAUUGGAAGAUGUGGUAUGAAUGCCAAUGAGACAGCUCUGAUGGUUUACUUUUACAAUUUGUGACUUGGACAAAAUGGUGGAUGGACAGUUGUCUCAUUGGCACUCAUACAACAUUUUAUAUCUGUAUACAUGAUAGAACAGAUGAAAUAAUUGAAAAAGGAUAAUAAAUGUUAGGAUUACCCAUGCAUUAACCUUUGUACAAAUGUGUAACAUAACUGAAGAACAUUGGACAGUUUUGUUACAACGUUAACACUAUAAGCACCAACUGUAAUAUUAGUUGGUAAGGGCUUUAAAAAAUCAUCUGCAAGAAUAUACAUUGAUGAAAAUUUAGAAAUGGAGGAACUUUGACCAGGACAUGUACAAAACACUGCAUUUAUGACUAAAAUAAUUGUUUCCUCCAUUUUUUUGUAAGGCCAAAUAAAGAUGUGGGUCGGUAAGUAGACAUUUUUUUUUGUGACCCCUCCAUAGCAGUGGGGGCAUUAAGUUUUAUCCAUGUCCAACUGUACGUGUCGACAUCCCAACUAUUUUGUUUGUUCUUUAACUUGGAUCAAAACACAGUUAAAGUCUGAAUUUGGGUGGUGUCACUUACCAUUCUAGAAUAAUUCACCUUUACAUUCUCUGACUUGUUUGACUGGAUUGCCUCAACUAAAUGUGUGAAUCUUAAACAGUGCUUAUAUGUUUACAACAAUACAAAGAUCAAGUUUGAAUCUGCUGGGGUCAUUUUUAACAUUCUAGAGUUAUGCCCCUUUACAAAUGGAAAACUUUCUUAUUUUGUUUCCAUUCUCUGUGAGUUUCCACUGGUAAUGAUCAUGAAGAUUCCAUUUUGGCAGUCAAGAUCAUUGCAUUUAAGUUACAUAUUUCAAAGUCUGACUUAUGGCCAAGUUAUGGGACACAGAUGAUGCCCACCCUGGGAUACAACCCUAUACAGAACUUGAACCUACGAUAGUGAGGGGCAUUAUGUUUUCUAGUCUGUCCGUCUAUUCGUCUAUGUUCGUCCAACUUCAGGUUAAAGUUUUUGGUCAAGGUAGUUUUUGAUGAAGUUGAAGUCCAAUCAACUUGAAACUUAGUACACAUGUACCCUAUGAUAUGAUCUUUCUAAUUUGGAUGCCAAAUAACAGUUUUGACACCAAUUUCAUGGUCCACUGAACAUAGAAAAUGAUAGUGCAAGUUUCAGGUUAAAGUUUUUGGUCAAGGUAGUUUUGGAUGAAGUUGAAGUCCAAUCAAAUUGAAACUUAGUAUACAUGUUCCCUAUAAUAUGAACUUUCUAAUUUUAAUGCCAAAUAACAGUUUUCACCCCAAUUUCAUGGUCCACUAAACAUAGAAAAUGAUAGUGUGAGUGGGGCAUCCGUGUACUAUGGACACGUUCUUGUUUUUACAUAUCUCAGUAUACAUAGUUUUAGCCUGAUAACAUUUGGUUUACAUCACUUUAGGGUACACAUGUAUGUUACAAUAUAUAUCAUGCAUAUUUUAACCUUAAAAGUGAAGUAUUGAAUUUGCAGUAAAUUAAUAUUCAUGUUUAAAGUAUGUAUUAAUAAUUGCAUUUUAUUAUGCCCCAUAUACAUGUAUGUGCAUUAUGUUUUCUGGUCGAGGUAGUUUUUGAUGAAGUUGAAGUCCAAUCAACUAGAAACUUAGUAAUCAUAUUCCCUGAUAUGAUCUUUCUAAUUUUCAGGCCAUAUUAGAGAUUUUCCCCUUUUUUCUCGGUCCACUGAUGAACAUUGAAAAUGAUAGUGCGGUUGGGGGCAUCCAUGUACUUUGAACACAUUCUUGUUUAUUUUAUAAUAUUUCAUGAUUUGACAACAUGAAAUAAUUAUAAAUAAUUGCCAAAUAAAAGUAAAAGUAUAUACAUGUUUCCUACUUUUAUAUGUCACACUUGUGAAAAGCGUAUCUUCAAUUUUUUUAAAGGUUCAGUUGGUGGUACAAUGAUCUACAGUGUAUAUUGAGAAAACUGCAGGUUCCUCAUCAACAUGUUAUUGGGGUAAAAAAUGAUGUGUUAAAAAUCCUAAUUUCCUUGAUAAUUAGAAACUGUUACAAGUUUAUACAAUCAGUGGUUUUCCUAUUGUGUUGAGGAAGGGGCCCAGGUUCAUAUUCAUGUAGAUAUUAAGAAUCGUUUAAAAUGAUUUUCAAUGUGCAAUGGCACCGAUAAAUAGAAACAGCUUCUUGCUCUAUUAUUAACAUCAAUUUGUCAUAUGAAUGGUGACAUACAUGUAUAAGAAGACCAGAAUAAUAUUGGUUUCACAAAUAAAUCAAAAUUACUUUUUCAAAUGCAGUACAGACCUUUGACAGAUACAUGUUGUACCUCAUUCUAAAUUCAGUGUGUUUUUUCAAUUCAAUAUCAUGUGACUUCCUAAAGAAUUAACAUUAUGAAAAAAAAUCAUGACUAAUUUAUGACACUGUCAGUGUCACCUAAAUUGUUUGGUUGACUGAUUAAGAACAAAGGUUUAUAAUUUAUUACAAAAUUCAGCAUGUAAAUUUGAAAAUGUAAGCAUGGAAUAUGUACAUGAUUUUACAAAAAAAAAAAAAAAAAAAUAUCUUAGUAUUUGAGAAAUGUAAAAAUAUUGUAUAUAUUAUAUACAUAUAUGCAUCAUUUAUCUGUCAUAUCAGUAAUUAAAUCUACAGAUACAUGUAUAACAUGUACAAUGUAUUUCUAAAGAAAAUAUGCUUUUAAGUGACAAAUACAGUUCACUCAUGUUCACAUGUUAGCCUCUGGUUGAAAACUUUAUUUGUGAAAUGUAAAAACUAUAUCAGUAUACAUAUACAUUUAACAAUUAAAAUGUGUUUUCUUAAGCAGAUACUGUAAUUGAACUUAUUUUCGCGGUGUAUUUAUUUUCACGAAUUUCGCGCUUGGUUUAUUAUCGCGAAAAUAAAUACACACGAAUCUAAAUCAAACCUUUCAACUGAAAGGCAAUAAUUAUAAAAUUGCGAAAAAUAAAUAGCCGCGAACGUUUUUGAAAUACACAAUUUGCGAAAAGAAGUACCCGCGAAAAAAAGUACAAGUACAGUACAUUGUAUGCCUUAAAGUGUCAACUUCUGGUUUAAAUUUUCAUUAAUAGGUGCAGUUGUAUAAACUACAUACAUAUAAUUUAUAAAAUGUAAUUCUAAAUUAGAUCUGCUUUUAAAAACUUAAAAGUGUCAGAUACAAUGUACUAAGUGUGCAUGUCAGCCUCUUGUUUAAAUUUCAAUUAAUUGGUGCAGUUGUACAUAUACAACCCAUAAAUAACAUAUAUUUUUAAAUUCCAUUUUCUUUUUAGUGCCAGUCACUAGAUUCCCAUGUUAGUGUCUUUUUUAAUCUCCAUUAAUUGAUGCAGUUGUAUAAACUAUUAAAUUUCAUUCCAGUUGCUUUGUGGGUACAUGUAUUUUCUCACGCUGUAAUAUGAUUUCAAUAAUUUAUUAUUAAAACGAACACAAACAAAGUGUAGGAAAUGAUGUAAGCUAAUAAAUAGUGGAAUAGUCACUGACAUUCCAAUCAUUAUGUAUUUAUAACACCUGAAUGAGCACGCUCAGUGAGUCAGUUAGGAAAAGGGUUUUACCUGUAAACAUUGCUUUUACCUGUCAGGUGUAAAUUAAAAAAUCAAAUAAAUUUGAUAUAAAUUCAGUAAUAUUUAAAUCAAAUUAAACUUGUAUCGGAACAUUAAAAUUUUAUAGGUGUAAAAACAUUUAUAUAUGUUUAUCUUGACAAACAAAUAUAACAUCCUGAUAAAAAUUUUCCUUUUUUGAACCCUUAUCAAAGGAUUGAAAAAAUGACAACACACAUUUGAAUACACAAUACCUUGAACUCCCACAAAUAUUUGUGAACUCAAACACCCAGACACAUUCUCAUCAUUGUCCUUUUGUCUAGGUCGUUGUAACAUGUAAAAAAUGUAAAUGUACAAAAUGUACCUGUAAAUAAAUCAGUGCAUAUAUUGGGGCAUUAUUGGAACGUAAUUAAACCAUUUUAUUGAUGUACAAUAAUAUAUACAUUGAUUCAUUGUUGUAUGACAGUGCAUGUAUAAUGUGAAUUAGGGAGUUAUUAUUCAUGUAAUCUUUUGUGGAAAAAAUAUAUCUAAAGAUAUUCAGAGACAGUUACAUGUAGUAAGAAAACAGGAUUUAUCGGAUAGUAUGAUAUUUGUGUAAACAAGUUUGAUCUAUAUAUAAUAUAUAUAUGAUAUGAAUUGAAAUAUUUGGAUAUGCAUAUAUUCUACAAAUUGUGACUUGGAUGAUUUGUCUCAUAGGCACUCAUACCCCAUCUUCUUAUAUCUAUUUAUUUCAUUUGUGGAUUUAAAGUAAUUAACCAGUGUUUGUGCUAUAGUAUAGAUGCCAGUGGAUUAACAUUCAAGUUAAGGAUUAUCAUUUUUUUUAGGAAGCAGAAUUUGAAAGAUUAACCAGAAAAUUAGAAGCCGAAAGAGAAACUGUAGGACAUAAGUUUAGGGAGGUGAGUGAAGGAAAGAUCACAAGAAUAGUGCUUGUUUUUUGCUGUUUAUUAGACCCUUCUACAACAAAUUUUGUUUUACAUGCACACGUAUAAAAAUUGCGAUAUUUAUCCAACACAAUCAUAGGUUUGAACGCAGUUUUCAAUUUAGACUUGUUUAUAUAUACUGUAUAUCAUAUUUUUUUCAUUCAUUAUUUUGCACUUAAAUCAAGCUGUUAGUUUUCGCAAUUGAAUUGUUUUGAAAUCUUUAUUGGGGGCCUUAGGUAGCCAACUAUGUGGUAUGGCUUUUACCUAUUGUUGAAGGCCGUACGGUGACCUAUAGUUGUUGAUUUUUGUGUCACUUUUGUCUCUUGUGGUGAGUUGUCUCAUUUGCAAUCGUACCACAUCUUCGUAUUUUGAUACAUAUUUAUAGAGAUAGACUAGUAUGGAACACUUCGCUUUAUUAUAUUUUCAACUCCUUUCGGAUUGUCUUCUCUUGUUGUCUGAUGAUUUCCAUCAAUUACAAUUCACUGUUCUCCCAAGGGGCUUUUAACAUUAUUGUAAGGUGAUGUAAUCUAAAACUAUUUCUUUAUCAUGUUUAUAGAUUGUGUUUAAGAUUUGAUACGACAAUUUUCAAAAUGUUAUUUCAAAAUACGCUGUAAAGCCAAUGAAAGCAGAAUACAGUCACUGGAAGGAUUUCAUCAUGUUCAUAUAGAAAUGGAAUGAAUGGCACAAGAAAUGGAAGAUGAUCUAUAAAAAGGAGUUUUAAAAGGGUUCUUUUUAAGUACACAUAAAUACCAGGGGUUACAGACUGCUUGUUUAGCCUUAAGAAUUUUAUCUGUAUUUACAAAAAAAUGUAUGUCGGUCAUAUCAAUACCUCAUUGAGUCUAUUUUCCUCCAAAAUAAUAUUCUUAUUGAAAGCUAAGAUUUUGGUGAACAUGAUAAGGUUCGAACUUCUCCUGAAAAAUAGAAGUUGAUAUCAAGCAUAUUAGCAUAUUCUUUCAGUAUACAGUAUACAUGAUGUACAUGGUUAAAAUAAAUGAUAAAUAUGAUUUAAUAAUCAUCAAACAUUUUCGUCAAAUGAAAACUUCCAGAUGACCAAACUUUUAAUUGAACUUUUUAUUUCUAAAAUGCCUUUGUUUACACAAUGAACAGAAGAAAUGUGGAAUAUGAGGAUAAAGUAUACUUAUUAACACGACCCAAUUACUAAGAGGUACAUACAUGUACCAGGAAAUAACAUACCAUAUGUUUUAUCUGACAGUGCAGUAUUUGGCAUAUCUAUAAAUAAAGAAUACAAACAAUCUCUGAUUUGAAGUAAUUAUGCUUUUUACUUCAUGUACUUUGAACUCCUUGUCCUAAUUGUAAUUUGUACAUUUCUUUCAUUUAAAGAAAUAGGUAAUUCUAAUGGAAACCUCUAAAAAGAGUGCUCUUUGUGAGACAGACAACUUUCUACUUUUCUUGUCUUUUUAUUUUGUUGUUGUAAAUAUGCACUCUUAGAAAAAAAACGACACUCCAUUAUAAAACAAUCAUUGAAGUAAGACAACAUUAUAGCACCAUGACGGAUCAUACAGCAUUAAUUUAACUUAAUAAAUAACAUUUUCAUGAAGCCAUUUUUUAUGAAGUUUCAUAAGAAUUUAUGAUUAAAAGCAGGAUAUAAUAAAUUGAACGAGAAACUUAUUAUUUUCUAAAACUAAAAUGAAUUUUCUGAUAUCAAAGAUUGCAUUGCAGUAUUUAUUUAUGACUUUUAAAGUAUUACACUGUAUAAGUUGAAAAGCAAGCAUGAUAAGUUUAUGUUAAGAUUGUUAUGUAUAAAUACAAUUACUAAGUAAAAAGAAUAACUUGACGUAUAUCAUGUAUAUUUUUAUACAUUAGCCUAAAAAAUGUAUCAAUUGAAUUACUUGGUAUACCAGAUAUUCACUGGCUUGUAGACCACUUUCAAAAUGAAGACUUAUAUUGACUCCACACAGGAUGUUUUGUAUGGCUUGAUUUAUAUGGGUAUCUAUCAGGUAUUUUAAAGGUGGACCUAAAAAUGUUGUAUAAUCGGUUUUAGGAAUGCAUUUGAUUAUUUUUUUGGGCAUAUACAUGUAGUUAUUUUCACCUAUCACUGAUAUUAGUCCUAAACAAAAUUUAAAUACACACUCAACAGCCAAAAAUUUCAAUUCUGUGUCCACAAGUUGUAAUUUAUCAAUGUUUCUGGUUAUAAAACAAUGUGUUUUUCCUACCUGAAUACUUUUGCAAUGUGUAAGCACUUUAAAGAUUAAUCUUGACUUUAUAUUAAAACAUGAUUUAUUCACUUUCAUCAAAUUAUAAAGACACAAAGGUUUCAAAAAUAAACUUGGUUUUAGUUACCAAGAUAUUUGAGUAAUUUAAAUUUUUCCUUUAUAUUCAUUUCCCUGUUUAGAUAAUUACUCGUCUGAAAAUAGCCAAAGUUUUCUUUUUGUUAAAAACAUGCAUUUCAUGUUCUCUGUUUACAGUUGAAUGAUAUCAACUCUCAAAAGACAUUUGAUAAAUUAAAUCGCUACUGUCUGGGUCAGCUAGAGGUAAAAUUUAUUACAUGUAUAAAUUACAAUUGUACCGAAAAUGAUUUCAUGUCAUUAAUUGAUAGCUAAGUAGAUGAAAGUAAAACUAAUAAACAGGUGUUAAAUGGCUAACAAUACCUGAUUGUACUUGGCUUUAAUAUGCUGAGGUUCAUAUAUUUAGCAAGCUAAUUAGCAAGUUACUUGUGUGGUCAUAUAGGUUUGUACUAAGACCUAUGAUUGAAUUUGGGCAAAUAUUUAUGUUUUGAAAUUGACAUUUCCUAUUAAAUCUGAAAGUAUAAGGUCUUUGUGAUAUCACAUUUUCUCCUAUAUGUAUACAAACUGAAACAUUAGAUUGCUUUCAUUAGAUGAAUAUGAUAUUAGAUUUCCGAGAACUUAUCACGUUAGCCAAUGAUUAAUUAAGGUUUUGGACCUGAUUGGGUUUUAAUCUAUCUUCAUUGUUUAAUGGGUACACAAACAGUAUAAAUGAAUUCUAAUAUUUUAAAAAUUAAUAAAAUGAGAGAAAAGGAAGAUCUUUGUUACUUAAAAACGUAGCCUGUUGUUAACUUCUAGGUCAUUCAUGUCUUCUGGUCUCUUGUGGAGAGUUGUUUCUCCAGCAAUCAUACCACAUAUCCUAAUUUAUAUGCUGUGACAUUUUCAGGAAAAACUAAAUCAAAACAUAAUUUUGCUGGGGUAUACAUUGUAAGGUACUUGCAUUACAUAGUUAAAAUAGAAUUUUGGAUUGCAUUGAGGACAUGAUCUGAAUAUCAAUGUCUGUACAUAUUAUAUGUGUACAUUUGAUGCCUGACAAUAUAAGUACAUAUGAAUUUCAAAAAGCUUGUACAUUUAUUUGUACUCUGCAUGUUGUAUAUGUACAAUAUUAGAAUUGGGUUAAGCUUGUUAUGGAUAGUUUAUAACUUGUUUGCUUCUCCCAGAAUUCCAUUUAUUUGUUUUGGUGUUUGAACUAGUUUUUACCUGUAUAAGCAUCCGAUUUUACAAUAGAACCUUUAUAGUCAAACCUGCUAUAUAUAAAGGUCUUGUGUAUUUACUGAAAAUGUCAGGUCAUCCUCAUUUGGAAUUGUCCCACUGUAUUGAUACCAAUUCAUAUUGAACUACCUUUCAAAAGAUCCCAUCUCAUAUGAUGGGUGACCUUUAUACCAGGUUUGACUGUAGUUCACACAUAGCCAAAUUUCUGUUAGGUAUUUAGUUACCCUUUUUAGUUUUGCAUGGAUCUCUAGCAGUCUUUGGUUUUAUAUCAUUGCAGUACAGGGUGGGAAGUCAGGCCGAUAGUAUGAAUAGCAUCAAUAGCGCAGAUGAUUCUUAUUGGCGUAGUCCUCAUUCUGACUCACGACUCCAUGAUGAUACUGUGGGGGACUCUAAAAUGAGCUCACACCUCCUUGACUCCUGCCUGUAAGUAUUUUUGGUAACGGGUAGGUUUUAAUGUUAGGAUGGUGAGGUAUCUGUAUUUGAAUUUCAUCAGGCAAUGAAUAUAUCUAACCAAACUGGUCUCUAAGAUUCUGAUCUCACUGAUUUCUAAAAGCAAAUUGUUUUUUUUUUUUCAUUCAAUCAACAUUUGCCAAUACAUUUAGAAAGAUUGUUGACAAAUGAUUAAAAGAUAUAAAUAAACAUGAUAAACAUGACCUUCUGAUGUUGUUUUUUCUAUGGUCGGGUUGUUGUCUCUUUGACACAUUCCCCAUUUCCAUUCUCAAUUUUAUGAUUUUUUUUUUGGGGGGGGGGGGGGGGUUAUUUUAGGAUGUAGAAUAAAUCCCAUUGCUUUACUUUGCCACAAUUUAAUGGUAGUGCCUGAAAUUUAAACAGGGGUUUGCAUAAGUACUGCUCAUUCCUAACCUUUGUUUAGUUGCAUUAAUUGUUGUAGAGCUUCAAUUUUAUAGGACAUCUUUCUGACAUAUAUGUUUUUGCAUGAUUAGUCAUUUAUGCAUUUAAGUCUGAAUCUUGAACAUGAUAAUGUACAUGUAUCAAUAACCAUAAACAUUAUCCUUGUACAUAUACAUGUAGGCCUGAAAUAAUAUGUAUAUAUACUAAGUACUCAUUCUUAUUCCUGAGGUUUGGCUAUUGUGGAUUUCAUGGUAAAAUGUGAAUUCAGGAAUAACAUAAAAAUAUUCUUAUAGGCUUUCAUAUCAUUGAAAUCAUGAUCAUGAAGUUGAAGGGCAUUCACAUGUACAAUUUUUUCUCCUUUUAUAAAAUUGUUACCCAGAAAAAUUAUAAAAUAUUUUUGUUUGGAUACAAUUGUUUAUCAUAUCCCUUUGUAUCUUGUUUGGGGCCUCUGUGGUCGAUGUGUCUAAGUAGUUACUACUGUAAUCAAUAGCCAGUCAUCAUUGAGGUUGUGAGGUCAAACCCCUGCUUGUGCCGGUGCACUCAACCCAAAUCUCAAUAGACUAGGAAUGCCAGUUUUCCUUUUGAAGGUCAUGGUUUUCUACGAGCACUCUGGCUUCCUCCACCAAUAAAAACAAACUGGCCGCUAAGAAAUUGCCGAAAAGCAGUGCUUAAAAGAUGUGUUAAAACACAAAAAAUCAAAUCAUCAACAUCAGUCAGGAAGGGUUAUUUUCAUCAAAUUCAUGUAUUUCUUCUGUUUCCAUUACAUUCCAAAUAUGUGUUUUAAAAACUUACUGUUAACAAGCCCUAGGGACAAAAGGAAGACAGCUUUGAAAGUAUCAGUGCUAAAUACAUUAGGGUAACAUUUUUAUUUGCCCAUGUCUCCCUUUAUUAGUUUAUUUUAUUCUGUGCCAUGAAUUUUCGAAAGAUUGGGAAGGCUGCCAAAUGGCUAUUUUGUUUUUUUGUCUUAUCAGUUGAAUUAUUUUAAAAAAGCACUGAUAGUGCCCACUAUAUCAAACAUCUAUACUUUGUAUGCAUAUGUAAGUCAUUGUGGUUUGGCAUUCCAUUUAUAUUCAGAGUCUUAAAGUAUUCAAACAUUUCAUUUUCGAAAAAUAGAUACCUUACAAGGGGAUUUACCGGUAGGUCAAACUGUUGUGAUUAAAUUUAGUCACUGUUCAAGUGUCCACCAGAGUUAAUUGAUCUCUAGCUCAUUGAUCAAAGAUCUUUUAAACUUUGCUACUUUUAAAAUGUUCAGGACAUUCCAAUACAGCUGUGUAUACAAUGAAGAUAAAAAUACCGUGGCCAUCAGAGCAUAUCCUUCACUGUUCUGAAGUUGUUUAAAUUUCAAUUAUGUGACACAUGUAAAUAAAGAUAAAAGAUUGGUUACGCAAAAAUUAAAUAUUUUCAGACUAAAAUAAGCUUUGGCAUAAUAUGUGGUAUUAUGUGGUUAAAAAAUUAAUUACUUUAUGUGAUAUUUUAUUAGAUUAAAAUAUUGGAAUUUGUUGGGCUUGGGUUUAUUUUAUAUACAUGUAGUACUUGUAGUCUUUAUUUACAUUAAAUAAGUGGAUUGGUUUUAAAAUAAUAAGCAUAACUUAGUCAAUAUUUUUCGUGUAUCCUUUAUCGUAUAAUUAGCAUGUCAUUCUGCAAGGUACCUGUAUAUGUAAAUAUUUCAUCUUGUACAUUGAUAGUUCAAUGUUAUGACCAAGGAAGUAAUAAAACAAAUAAACAGAAAUUAAAGGACACUUUAGACCCGAGUAGUAGAAAACGCAACAAUUGUUGUACAAAUGCAGAGUUCUACAAAAAUGAUGGUCCGAAGUUUUUGACCACCAAAUUUUGCAAAGGACUGACACGAUUUAUUGUGUUUUGCAAUAAAAACAAUGGUUAAAGGACUAGCAGAUUUUUGUAAAGAACUACCAAUGAAAAGAUUUUGAGAAUUCUGCUGAUGCAUUUGCAAUAUCCAUCGCCAUCAAAAUAUAUUUACCGAAAUAUAAAAAAGAAUUUACAAUUGAAAUCCAAUCAAAGAAGUUGUUUUUCUGUGUUAUGUAUUAGUAAGAAUUUGAGUUUGUUAUUGGCACCAACUUGGAAAAAUAUUUAAGUUUUAAAGUAUUCCUUCCAGCUAUCUGAUGACAUCCAACAAUAAUAUUUAUAUAUGGUUAUAAAAUCAUUAGAAUGUACAUGUAUCUUGUGGAAGUUGUGUAUAUAAAUGAUCUCCCAAAAUAUCUAAUACCUGUAGCACUGUUUCCCUUAUAUAUAGCACAGCAUUUAUAUAUGUUUUGAUUUAAAAUCUAUUCCAAAAGCAGCUUGAGAAAACUGAAUAUCUGUGAUAUUGGAAGUUUUAGUUUAAUUGAUGGAUACAUUAAAAUUUUGAAGCUUUAAAAUAUAAAUUUUUAUUAAUAUUUCAAGAAAAUUUCAUUUAAACUGUCCAAUUUUAUGCCCCUACACAAGGCAAAAGGGACACUAACUAUUACCUUUUCCCAGUCAGUCUGUCAAAAAAGAAUUUCCCCAUAUUUUAGCAAGCUUUAGAAGGGUCAUUCAGUCCUCAGGCACCAUCUUCUUUGAUUUAUUGAAAUGUUUCAAAUCACAUAUAGCCAUUUCUUACCAUUGCUUGCAGUGCAAAUAUUUUUGUUUGAAAAAAUUGAAACUCUAGUGGAUAUAAGUUAAUUGAAGUAAACAUGGUAAAUAUGGUUCGUAGCUUUUGAUAUAAAUAUUGGGGACUUUAUAAAUUACAAACAUAAACUCAACCAAAAUGUAAAUUUUUUUGUAGAUAAUAUAAGAUGACUUAUACAAGUUUGAUCAAAAGUAUGAAAUUUGAUAACUCUAUAGACCCUGAGUAUUAUAUUGUGUGUUUGUUAUAAAAGUGGCAUUAACGCUUUAUGUUAUACUUAUUUUUUUGUUACUCAAAUAAAUGCCUAUUCAUGUUUAAAAAUUUUAGGAUUGAAAAUUGCAUUAAAAAUAUGUACUUCCCUUUGUUAAGAGAUAUAUAUGUCGAGGAGUCUGCACAAAAGAGAACACUAGGUAUACAUUUAGGGUAUAUUAUUGUUUACUGUUCUCGUGAGAAGAGCUUUAAACCUUUUAAAUUCAGGGAUAAUUAUGUUAUUGGCAAAGAAAGAAAACUUGAAUUUAAAACAGGAUUAAAUUACUAGGUCAUAGUAAAUAGUAAGUUGUCCAGGACAUUAAUGUCACAGUUGUAACACUCCUACGGGCAUGUAAGCUUCUUAUUGUCAGUGGUUUGUAGGCCUUUCAGUCUGCGGGUACACGUUCCCACUUCUUCCAUCACAUAUCAUGCAUAAUGCACUGUAUCAACUAUGUCAUGUUCGUGAUACAUACUUUGUAUUCUUUGUUCCUUUGAUUAAAAAGAGGAAAUAAAGUUUAUUAUUUUUUUGGAACUUCUAACUUGCAUGUCAAGUCACAUGGGUUCAUCAAAAGAUUCAGUUGUUUCCACCUGUGUAUUUGUCAAAGAAAAACAUCUAUGUAAUAAGGAUUCAUUACAUGAUUACCACCAAGUAUUUAAACUUGUAUACAACAUAGUUUUAGAUUCUUUUUUCUUUAUUUUUAGGAGAGAGCUUGAUAACAGGGGCACAUUUGGGUAUGUUUAUUAUAUAAAAUAAAGUAAUAUACUGCCAUGAAAGUAGUCUCAAGUUGAAUAAUAAUAAACUUUGAUCAGAGGUCAAAAGUGUUUUACCAAUAAAAAGUUCAGUUAUUUAGUUCUUAUAUAUCAUAUGCAUGUAUAUCAUUUAAAGAUAUAAAAAAUGUCAAAAACUUAAUUUAAGGACUGAAUUUGAUGAAACGUUUAUUACUUGACUCAUAAAGUAUACAUAUAUGAUUCAAGCCAACUUCAGUUGAUAAGAUAAUUUGUAAAUGAACAGGGAUGUUCAUUAUUAUAUCAUAAGACAAAGAAACAAAAUAUUCACAUACAAUUUUAUCAUUUAGAAAUACCACAUACGAUCGAAUAAUUGAAAAGACAACAUGCAAUUAGUAAUAUCUUUGCUUAAGUUAUACAUAUGGUCAAACCAAUUGUUUAAAACAAAAGUUUCUUGUCUCUUCUUUUAAUAUUUUUAUAGUCCUGCCACAUAAGAAUAAUUUUGUUGAUAUUUGCAGAGACAACAACAUGGAUUACGUGGAGGACCCCUACAGUGGUGGAGGGAGACAAUUGUACAAUGAUUCCUACAAUCAGGGUUACGACCCACAUUACAUGGACCAAAGGUCACCUCACGCAUCUCAUACAUCAUUACAGAGUAACGACAGAAACAGAAUGGUAAGGACGCUGGUGUAAAAACAUACUCCCAAGAUAACCUCAUUUAUAUGAAACAAUUUGAGACAGACGCAAAAUGGUUAGGACCCACAUGCACUAAUCCUCUACUAAAAUAAAGGGUAGUCACCAAAAAUAUACCAACUCAUCUAUUGUUGUAAUCAAUAAAUAACAUAUACUCUUCCUAAUAUGCAUGUUAGCCAAGGCUCCGUGUUGAAGACUUUGACCUACAAUGGUUUACUUUUACAAAUUGUGACUUGGAUGGAGAGUUGUCUCAUUGGCACUCAUACCACAUCUUCGUAUAUCUAUUUAAUAUUUGCCACUGAAUACUAAAACACCAAUCCACCAUUAUCACCAUCAAUAUAUUGCAUAUACAGUCACUAUUUAAGGGAGGCUAAAAUAAAAUUUAAGUCCUCACAGUCACAUAUUUUAUUUGUUCAUUUAUUUAAGUCUGUUACUUUUAACUUGACAAACUCUAGACACCAUUCUCAGUGGUGGUACAAAUAACCUAGAUAAGGGGUUACCUGUCCUGUCUAUAAGGGUCAACUUCAACAAGAUUUAAGACAGUAACAGACUCUUAUUAGGUACUUAAAGAUUAGAUAAAUGAUUGACAUUUACAUGUACAAAAACAUUAAAUUGUGUAUUAUGAUUGAUUUCCUUCUAAAUGUUUUAUUUCUAGACUUUAAACAUUACUGGCAUUUAAAAGUGAUGACCAUGUUAAACCAAAUUUAAAAGAAAUGCAAAGAAACCAACAUUUUGCACUUAUUUAAAAGUUAUUUAAAAGAUUCAAAAUUAAAUUUUCACUUGAUAAGACAAGAUAUUAUAGCAUCAUUGUAUCCUUGACAUAAAUUAAAAAAAUCAUAAAUUGAUUGAUAUCGUAUUUGUAUUAACAAGGACUUCAAAAAAAAUAACUUGUAUGAAAUGGCUGGAUGUUAAAAAUAUUUGUGUAAUGUACAGAUUGUUAAUCUUCUUUGGAUAAUAAUAAUAAAAAUGUGAUUGACAUUAACUAUGGGCACUAAUCUUUUUCUUCUUUUUAGGCACAGAGAGAAAACCACCCUAAUGACAACUACACAUCAUACUCCUCAUUAGCUAGACAGCCAGGGUAUGACGAUAUGAGAGGAUCCCCGGGAACACCCACAAGGUUGAACCAACAGCAAUAUGCUAGCGAUUAUUAUAACGAUAACUCACCUCGCUACAGUUUGGCCUCUAACGAUAGCUUCCAGCGACCUCAGCAGCAGUAUCAUUAUGAUCCUAGGUAGAUGGGUUAUAGAGCAUGCUCAGUUAAGCUCUAGGUGUGACACAAAUGACCAGAAAUCAUUCUAUUUUGAAUUUGUACUCGAAUUAUGGAAGUUAAACUU